rnacentral:misc_RNA from 1 species
CUUCCAGGACGCUCAAACCCUAGCGGAUCUCGUCAGAUCUAGGGUUUCCUCUCCCCCACAAUUUCCCCCUUUCGCUGCCCUUUGAUUGCCCAAAUCGAGCGCGGGAACGGCAAUCGAUCGCCCCGCCAUGCCUGCCUCCAGAUCCAGCGGGCCGCGCUACGCCCCGGAGGAUCCCACCCUCCCCAAGCCCUGGAAGGAGCUCAUCGACGGCAACACCGGCUAUCACUACUUCUGGAACCCUGAGACAAACGUCACCCAGUACGAGCGCCCCGUUGACACCCUCCCGCCACCGCCGCCGCCCGGCCCGCCGCCGUCUGCCGUCCACUCGCGGAAGCGCGG